AAGAUGAUACUUUCAGGGAUCAUUUCUAUAGUUUUUGACUUGAGAAAUGUGUUUCUAAAGAGUUUGGUCUCACUAACUACGAUGAUGAGUCGUGAUAUUCCUUUCUGAGCGUGAAGCGGACAGAGAGUAACGAUUCAGUUCAUACGCUCUCCGUCUUGAUGAUCGUUCUUUUUUUAUGGAGCAUUGAGGAAGGGUAUAUAAUCAGAGUGGAG
ensembl:snoRNA